UUUCAAGUCAGGAGUGAAAGGCUACGGCUCAACCGUAGUAAGCUCUUGAAACUGGGAGACUUGAGUGCAGGAGAGGAGAGUGGAAUUCCUAGUGUAGCGGUGAAAUGCGUAGAUAUUAGGAGGAACACCAGUUGCGAAGGCGGCUCUCUGGACUGUAACUGACGCUGAGGCACGAAAGCGUGGGGAGCAAACAGGAUUAGAUGCCCUGGUAGUCCACGCUGUAAACGAUGAGUACUAGGUGUCGGGGGUUACCCCCCUCGGUGCCGCAGCUAACGCAUUAAGUACUCCGCCUGGGAAGUACGCUCGCAAGAGUGAAACUCAAAGGAAUUGACGGGGACCCG
rnacentral:rRNA from 1 species